rnacentral:rRNA from 1 species
CCUACGGGUGGCAGCAGUGAGGAAUAUUGGUCAAUGGGCGCGAGCCUGAACCAGCCAAGUCGCGUGAGGGAGGACGGCCCUACGGGUUGUAAACCUCUUUUGCCGGGGAGCAACGGGCGUCACGUGUGGCGCCACUGAGAGUACCCGGAGAAAAAGCAGGGGCUAACUCCGUGCCAGCAGCCGCGUUAAUACGGAGGAUGGGAGCGUUAUCCGGUUUUAUUGGGUUUAAAGGGUGCGUAGGCGGAUCGUUAAGUCAGUGGUCAAAUUGAGGGGCUCAACCCCUCCCCGCCGUUGAAACUGGCGCUCUUGAGUGGGAGAGAAGUAGGCGGAAUGUGUGGUGUAGCGGUGAAAUGCAUAGAUAUCACGCAGAACCCCGAUUGCGAAGGCAGCAUGCCGGCUUCCGACUGACGCUGAUGCACGAAAGCGUGGGGAUCGAACAGGAUUAGAUACCCGGGUAGUC